CCUACGGGAGGCAGCAGUGAGGAAUAUUGGUCAAUGGACGAGAGUCUGAACCAGCCAAGUAGCGUGAAGGAUGACUGCCCUAUGGGUUGUAAACUUCUUUUAUAUGGGAAUAAAACGUUCCACGUGUGGGAUUUUGUAUGUACCAUAUGAAUAAGGAUCGGCUAACUCCGUGCCAGCAGCCGCGGUAAUACGGAGGAUCCGAGCGUUAUCCGGAUUUAUUGGGUUUAAAGGGAGCGUAGGUGGAUUGUUAAGUCAGUUGUGAAAGUUUGCGGCUCAACCGUAAAAUUGCAGUUGAAACUGGCAGUCUUGAGUACAGUAGAGGUGGGCGGAAUUCGUGGUGUAGCGGUGAAAUGCUUAGAUAUCACGAAGAACUCCGAUUGCGAAGGCAGUUCACUGGACUGUAACUGACACUGAGGCUCGAAAGUGUGGGUAUCAAACAGGAUUAGAUACCCGUGUAGUC
rnacentral:rRNA from 1 species